UCCCGGCUAGCUCAGUCGGUAGAGCAUGA
rnacentral:piRNA from 5 species